CGGUGACGUCGGUUCCAGACCGGACGGCGUCGCGGUCAGAAAAGCAGCUGGGGUAAAAGAAGCACGCAAUGCUGCAUUUGUUCUUGUAGCUGGUGGUCUUGGUGAAAGACUUGGUUACAAAGGAAUUAAGGUAGCACUCCCCAGGGAGACAACCACUGGGAAAUGUUUUCUUCAACAUUACAUACAGUCUAUUCUGUCUUUACAAGAGGCGAGCUGCA